UACGGGAGGCAGCAGUGGGGAAUAUUGCACAAUGGGCGCAAGCCUGAUGCAGCCAUGCCGCGUGUAUGAAGAAGGCCUUCGGGUUGUAAAGUACUUUCAGCGGGGAGGAAGGCGAUGUGGUUAAUAACCGCGUCGAUUGACGUUACCCGCAGAAGAAGCACCGGCUAACUCCGUGCCAGCAGCCGCGGUAAUACGGAGGGUGCAAGCGUUAAUCGGAAUUACUGGGCGUAAAGCGCACGCAGGCGGUCUGUUAAGUCAGAUGUGAAAUCCCCGGGCUUAACCUGGGAACUGCAUUUUGAACUGGCAGGCUUGAGUCUCGUAGAGGGGGUAGAAUUCCAGGUGUAGCGGUGAAAUGCGUAGAGAUCUGGAGGAAUACCGGUGGCGAAGGCGGCCCCUGGGACGAAGACUGACGCUCAGGUGCGAAAGCGUGGGGAGCAAACAGGAUUAGGAUACCCGGU
rnacentral:rRNA from 1 species